UAUAACAAAUGAAGUGAUGCAUGACACAAUACAUAUAUAAUACCCACUGUGAAGAUAAUAAUAUAUAGACUAAUAAUAUAUGCAUGUUAUUAAUCUUAAGUUACUCCCACUGUGAGCGAUCCACCGCAUCUGAGGAUCACCCCCAAGCUCCUCCUCGGUUUCCAACUUUCUGGUCCUUACCUGCACGCACCUCGUGGCUGGGACGGCGGUUGGUUUGGAUUCCCGUGUGCCUCGUCGAUCUCCCGGGCCGGUCAAUGGGAGCAGGGACCUAAUAGUAGCUGCAUGAUGCGAGCUCGUCGAACUCGACGGUUUUCCAGCCUGCGAAGUAGUGGAUCUCGUUCCCCUUAGCUCCUGCGCGAUUUUGGGAAUCUUGGGGGUGUUGUCCGUCCCCAAACGCCGAGCCGGAGUGGUCAUUGCUGUCCCCAAGCGAGGCACCCCGACGCAUCGUUUUCAACCUCAAAAGUGGCAGCCCGUCUUCGGCAUUGCAUUCUUCCACCUACAGGUCCAACAUCCGCGUCGAGCAGCCAUGCGUCAUUGCGAUGGGAGAAGUCGGUCUUCAGUCCCUCAUGGAGGCCAUGCAGUUCAUGGUGUAUGUCUACAUCCAGCCCGGUGCUUUGUGGACAGACUUCUCUCGAGGAAGUUUGAGUGCGUCGGUGUUGCAGGAAUUCCUGAGUGAAUCUUGAAGGGGGUCUUUCUUUCCAGUAAAGUAUCUGCACGGAAGAUAGCUCUCUAUGUUAUUUGAUACACCAGAUCUUUUGUGUAUUUAGAUGUUCAUCUGUACUCUAAUCUAGUAGUAAUGAAACAAUAGUUUCUUCU